GACUGCAUUUAUGUCAGAAAUUUCAAUUUUAGGAAUCUACCCAGAAGAAAUAAUGGGAUGGAUGUGAAGAUACAGUCAAAAGAAUGCUCAUUGGCCUACAAGAGGAUUAAACUUUUCCUGUAAAGGACCAGUUAGUAAAUAGUUUUGGCUUUGUGGGCUAUAAGAUCUUUGUUGCAACUAUUCAACUCUGUAUAAGGAAAGUAGCCUAGGACUUUUCCUGGUGGUCCAGUGGCUAAGACUCCACGCUCCCAAUACAGGGGGCCUGGGUUCCAUCUCUUGUCAGAGAAUUAGAUCCCACGUGCCACAACCAAGAGUUGGCACUCCACCACUCAAAAUCCUGUAUACUGCAACAAAGAUUCAAGAUCCCCAGUGCUGCAACUAAGACCCGGCACUUCGCUGCACCCAGUAUAUAUGCUGCUGAAGCGAGCAUGAAGACAUACAAUUUUAAGCUGGGGAUCUGUGCAUCUUGGACUCUUCUCAACCAAGUGAUAAACUCCUCCAGGAUAAGAGUCAUGACAUAUAGUUCUUUUUAUUCUCCUUCAGCAUUCAAUAAGGUUCUGAGCAUGUAGUUGCUAUCUGAUUAAUAAUUGUUUAUCAUUUAAUGGAUUAAUAGUAUUCUAUUAUAUGACUAUUCUAUAAUACCGAAGCAAUUCUUACUACUCUUUGUUGGUACAAAUAUGCUGCAGUACAUAUGGUUCUGCAUGCAUGUUUGUACACACAUAUGAGUAUAUUCUAGGAGAGAUUCCUAGAAGUAUAAUUAAGUCAAAGAUCAUGUGUGCUCUUAAUCUGACAAAAAGAAUUUCAAAUUAAUGUUAGUGUGUAAUUUAUUUCAUAUAACAAAUGCACAAUAUUUCAGAACAAAAUAAAGAUCUAUA